CACAUUAUUGAAACUUUCGUCAGUCACAAGGCAGUACUUAGACGUUAUUAAACAAACUAACAAAAAAAAGUAAUCACUAAUUUAUAGCAAAAUUCAUGCACGCAAUGCCUAUCUUCUUCACGUACUGUAAUUAAAAGAACAUUUAAAAGCAGCUACAGAGUUAUUAACAUUUUAAGGUACUGAAUAAAAAAUAGCUGACUAAAAUUACACACCAGGAAAAAAAAAACAAGAACAUGAAGUGUAAUUUAUGUCAGUUUAGAAACACGCAUUUGUGAAAUGAGAACCACUGAUCCCAUUUGAACUAUGUUGCUCACCAAAAC